rnacentral:lncRNA from 1 species
UUAACUCCUUUAUAUCAUAUUCAGAAGUUAAUUCAAGUCUAGACCUGUUUUGUGCCAGCCAACAAUAUUAGGCAAUUUAGACAUUGAAUAAUUGUCUAUAAAAAUUCAGUCAAAGUUGUGCCAAUGCUAAGCAACAGCACGUUUCAGCUUCUCUGUCAGCUGCUGACUUGCACAUAAACAUGCACGCAAAACCGAAGAGCCUUUUUCAUUUUGUAGUAUGUUUACUAGUUUAAUUAAGACACCAUUUCAGUCCAAUAAGCAAUAAUUAAAUGUAUUAACAUCCUUUAUCCCUAUCUGCCCUCACACCAUUUACUCCAGUCCCUUUUUUUUCUCUGUGCCAACUGCUCCGGCUUUACAAAUAUGAUAAGACCAAAGCUGCAAGAACUCUUCCAGCACUUUGGUAAUGGUUAACCAGAUAAUUUAUUUAGGGGUGGGAGUAGACAACAGUCAGAAGUUACUCUUCUUUUCUGUGCUUGCCUGCAAAUGAGUUGAAUUCAUUCAUAGCAGGACUCAGAAUGGAGGAGACGUUGCAACAAGAGAAACAAGAGUUGGAAUAUAAACAUUUGAAUGAGGAACAAGGUGGGAUCCGUCGCCGAUUGCGGGACAGGGAUCUUCUGAGGAAGAGAAAAGCUGAAGCAGAAGCGAAGGAGACUAACGAGAUGGAGAGCCAGAGGAAAAGACCCAGGGCUGAGAGUGGCACAAAGAGGAGAGGGAGGCCCAAGAAGAGCGAGCCGGAGAAAUCUGUCACUCAGGAGGAGGAGGAGGCAGGACCUCGGGAUGCUCCUGCAGUAGCGGAGUUUCAGCUGCUGCCCCUCCCGCAGCCCCUCCCCAGGUGGAGACCCUCUUCACAGAGUCACAAGGCAAGGAGGGCCAUGAGCAGGUCUGGAUUGAGGACUUGGGCCCAGAGGAGGAGGCAGACAGCUCUCCAUCUCCAAACAAAAGAGCUGAUGACGAUUUGAUUGAGACACCGUCGAUUGACGUACCUGAACAAAACGAAAUGUUCUCAAUUCCAACCUUGUCCUCGACACCUCCUCCACAAAAAUAUUUCUCAGGGAAUUCAUUCUAAUUCUUUCACUUUUCAGACGCUGCCUCGGCUCAGAACGUAUCUGAGGAUUAUUUUGGUUAGUGUGCAGCCUGUUGGUGAAAGAGUACAAACAUAUUGAGCAUUGCUUAUUUGACAAAUGUAUGAAUUUAAACCAAACCUGUAUGCUUAUUUAUUCUGGUUUUUACUUUAUGAAGCUCACAAAUUGUAUUUUGUAUUUUGCAUUUAAACAGCUAUUUUUGCCUGAUUGUAUUUCAAAGCAUUGGUAUAAAUCACUGGUUAUGAUGUAUUUUGGAUUUACAUGAUAGCAUUUUGUAAAAGUUGUUUUCCACCUAAUAAAUUACACUGCUUACAAUCAUCUGACUGUGGUCAUUAUUAUUAUUAUUAUUAUUAUUAUUAUUAUUAUUAUUAUUAUUAUUAUUAUUAUUAUUAUUAUUAUUAUUAUUAUGUGAUAAAUAAAAGACCAAAAUUAACUAUCCUACAAAAUGGGUGAAGACAGAAAUACUGGUGUCUCUUAUGAGACUGUCAUACAUUUAUAUAUAUAUAUAUAUAUAUAUAUAUAUAUAUAUAUAUUUUUUUUUUUUUUUUUUUUUUUUUCCGAGGAUUCUGCUUUUGUAACAUCCAAUAUAUUCCUUUUCACUUAGAUGGAGAAAUUAAUUCCAAAUUUUACUCCGAUAAAAUACAAAUACUAACAAUACUCAAACUGAUGAAUGUA